AAGGGAGUUGGCACAGACACAAUUGAAUACAACCAUCAGCAGAAGGACCCUGUGUGGCUCCUUUAUCUAUUCCCUGCCCCCAGUUCCACUCCUGUCCUUAAUCCUGAGCAACUGCUGGCCUUCUAUUUUUAUAAUUUUGGCAUCUAAAGUUUUAUGAAUAAAAUCAUAUAGAAUAUAACCUUAGAGAUUGUUUUUUGAACCUGUGGAUACUAGUGUAGGCUUUUCUCUUGCUGAGUAGUGUUCUAUAAGUAGUAUGCUAUAGAUGUAUCACAGUUGAGUAACUUCCAGAUUGGGGUUGUCAUAAAGCCACUGUGAACAUAUAUGUAGAGGUUUUUUAUGAAAACACAUGUUUCCUUUGUUCUGGAAUAAAAUCUCAGAGUGGAAUUGCUGAGAUGUAUGGUGAUUGUAUGUUUACCUUUUCUUAUAACUGCAGAAUGUUUUCAGAGUGGCUCUACCAUUUUUUCCUGUAAUAUAUGAGUGAUUUUGUUUCUCUGUAUCCUCACUGGCAAUUUUUUUCUUUUUUCUUUUCUUCUUCUUCUUCUUCUUCUUCUUCUUCUUCUUCUUCUUCUUCUUCUUCUUCUUCUUCUUCUUCUUCUUCUUCCUCUUCCUCCUCUUCCUCCUCCUCCUCCUCCUCCUUCUUUCUUCUUCUUCUUCUUCUUCUUCUUCUUCUUCUUCUUCUUCUUCUUCUUCUUCUUCUUCUUCUUCUUCUUCUUCUUCUUCUUCUUCUUUCUUCUUCUUUCUUCUUUUUCUUCUUUCUUCUUCUUCUUCUUUUUUUCUGAGACAGGGUUUCUCUGUAUAGCCCUGGCUGUCCUGGAACUCACUUUGUAGACCAGGUUGGCCUCGAACUCAGAAAUCCGCCUGCCUCUGCCUCCCAAGUGCUGGGAUUAAAGGCAUGCGCCACCACACCCAGCCUCACUAGCAAUUUUUAUUCCAACUAUUAAGAAAGUACAUGCUAUAUUUUAUACUUUAAUUUGCAUCUUCCUAAUGGUUAAUGAUAUUGAAUGCAUCUUCAUAUGUUCUUUCUUUUGCCAUUACUAUUGUCUCUAGUGAACUAUGUCUUUGCUCAUUUUUUUUCUUGUAUUUACAAGAAUUAACAAGGACAUUUUCUUGCUUUUAAAAGUUUUAAGAUUUUAAUUUUUUGGUUAAACAUGUAGUUUACAAUAGUUCCACAAUCUGAAUUUGUCUUUGAUAUUAUUUUUAGAAUCUUGUUAGUAAGCAAAAAUUCAUAAUUUUCAUGUCAUUUUUAGUUUUCCUUUUGUUAUUUGUUUGUUUUGAGAUGGGAUUUUACUAUAUAACCUUGACUGUCCUGGACUCAAUAUGUACACUAGGCUAGUCUCAGACUAAUAGAGAUCUACCUGCCACUGUCUCCUAAGUGCUGGGAUUAAAGGCAUGUGCUAUACACCCAGCCUGGGCAUGUUUUAAGAGUUCCAUUCCAGCAUAUCUGUAGUGCUUAUGCUGUGUAUUCUGUUUGCUGUCUGUGUACAUUUACAGCCUGCUAAUGGCUAGUUAGUGUUGGCAGUUUCUAGUGCAGUCCAGAAACCUAACCUCCUUUUUUGCUGUGUUAGUUUUCUGGGGUUGUCUACCAAAGUGCUAAAAGCUAAGUGGUAUAGAGGCUCUAAAUACAAAUGCAGGUGGAUUCCUUCCAUUUCACUCUUCUUAUCUUCUGCUGGUUUGCUGGCAGUUCUUAUCUUACUUACUUUGAAGUUUCUGCCUUCUGUCAUAUGGUAUUUUCCCUGUAUCUUCAUAUGGUCAUAUUCUUGUAAGGACACCAGCUUUCUUGAAAUAAAAUGGACCUGUUCCUAUAUAACCUCAUUUGAAAUAUCAAAUGAGUGAAAUAUCAGCAGUGAUCCUCGUUAGAAGUCACAUCCUGAAGUACUAAAGAAUUCUAUGUAUCUUGGGAGUGGAGAAGAGAAUAAUUCAACAUGUAAAGUACCUUUAUCUUGCUCCAUUUAAAAUACAAUUAUCUAAAACAUUUCCUCUACAUAAAUUUAGAACUACAUCAGGUAACAUUGAGAUUUUUGCCUCAAUUGUACUAUGUUUUCUUUUAAAAACACGC
rnacentral:lncRNA from 1 species